rfam:Danio rerio unplaced genomic contig CTG2784, GRCz11 reference primary assembly.
ACAACGGCUCUUUUAAGAGCCAUCAUUAGCUAAAAUCUCACUCAAU